rnacentral:rRNA from 1 species
GACGAACGCUGGCGGCGUGCCUAAUACAUGCAAGUCGAACGCAUUUUCUUUCACCGUAGCUUGCUACACCGAAAGAAAAUGGGUGGCGUACGGGUUAGUAACACGUGCUUUACCUGCGCAUCAACGGGGGGUAACACUUGGUAACAGGUGCUAAUAUCUCAUAAUUCCAUUUACAGCAGUGUAGAUCGGUGAUAGGGGCUCUUACGUCACUGAUGGAUGGGCCCGCGGUGCAUUGGACGGUUGGGGGGGUAAAGGGCUACCAAGGCUGAGAAACAUAGCCGACCUGGGAGGGGGAUCGGCCAACCUGGGACUGGGACACGGCCCAGACUCCUACGGGAGGCAGCAGUAGGGAAUCUUCGGCAAUGGAGGCAAGUCUGACCGAGCAACGCCGCGUGAGUGAAGAAGGUUUUCGGAUCGUAAAACUCUGUUGUUAGAGAAGAACAAGGAUGAGAGUGGAAAGUUCAUCCCUUGACGGUAUCUAACCAGAAAGCCACGGCUAACUACGUG